CAUGAGACUUAGCUGCAGUCCCGGGCGCCAUCUUGGGACCGCUGCCACAGCCGCUCCCCACACUAUCUGCAGGAGGAGCACUUACAGAAGAGUUAUUUGAACAACUGGCUUAGCACACACUUUCUUAAGAUCCCAGACUGUGAAUUCAGAACGUAAUGGCCCUGUUGCGACACCAGCAGUGAUAUUCAUUUGACAAAGGAGGUGGUGAAUGGAGUGGUGGCCAUGGUGUUUUCAUUCCUACCAGUAAUUGAUGCAAGUUCCCAUCCCUCUACAUCUUCAGCAGCAUUCCGUGCUCUCGGUGCCCCGGACUCUGGGCAUACCA